CAAUAGCAUAUAUUAAAGUUGUUGCAGUUAAAAGCUCGUAGUUGGAUUUCUGGCAUGAUGCGCCUGGCCCGCCUCAAUUCUGAGUGUGUGUGCGAGUGCGCGUCUGCCAUCCAUUUGCAGAAUGUGCCUACUCUUCAUUGAGCCGGGUACGUGAUGUAAAUCUUUUACUUUGAAAAAUUAGAGUGUUUAAAGCAUGGACAUUUGCUAUGAAUACAUUAGCAUGGAAUAAUAAUCUAGGACUUCGGUUCUAUUUUGUUGGUUUCUAGAUCUGAAGUAAUGAUUUGAUAGGGAUAGUUGGGGUGCUAGUAUUAAGGGCCAGAGGUGGAAAUUCUUGGAUUCUCUUAAGGACUAACUUAUGCGAAAGCAUUCACCAAGGAUGUCUU
rnacentral:rRNA from 1 species